ACCGGGACUUGGGGAGCGAGGGAUGCAACAUGGUGCAUCUGGGAGGCCUGCUAACUGGCUAACUUCUCCGGCGUUCCUCCCGGCCGAGGCGUGGGCACAGAAUAGCGGCGGCACCGGCGCCGUUUGAAGACAUCAUUUUCCAGUUUUGGAGCCGACUAAUGAACUAGUUCUUAAGUGAAAGGCAUUUAACACGACUGUGCAUCUACAGGUACUAGGUUUCCAAGAUGCCUUUCCAGACUAAAACCCACACAUGUGAGCCGCUGGCCGGACAAACAUCUGGCACCUAACGUGGGGCUGAAAAACAGCAGAGGACAUUUGGAAGAAACACUGCUGGUUUGGAGCUCCAUAGAAGAAGAAAAUAAUUAAAGGAAAUUCAUACCAGAGAAGGAAGCUGCAGCUCCUCUCCUCUGGAUCUUUAUGACCACACCAGGAAGCAUUGUGAUCUGCAGUCAUUGCCAACCUGCAGGAUAACACAGCUUGUUCCUCUGGGAACUGCCCUGCAGUGUCUGCAUACAGCCACCCUCAACCUGUCUGCCUGGUCUUUGCAACCUCUAGUGACUGUUGUUCCACAAUGUGUAGUGAAGAGACCUGAAUGGUUUGCACCAAAACACAAACACAAACCAUUGGGAGAGUGAUUGGUGAAGUGAUGGACAUUUACUCGGGCAAAGGUGAGGCUGAGUAAAUAUAAAAUCUGCCUUCAAGUAUUUUUGCAUCAAUGAACAGAAGUAUAUCUUUAAGCCAGUUUUUGUGUGUAUGUGUGGUUAAAAGGUCAAUGAUGAAAAUGGCACAUAAUGCUUUUAUUUACUAUUGAUUUUUGUCUUCAGUUGUUGUUGUUGUUGUUGUUGUUAUGGAGGUGGGGGUGAGGGUGGGGGUGGUA
ensembl:lincRNA